CGCUGCGUUUUUGGAGCAGACAGAGGAGAGGCGGGGAAGGGGACGUUGUUGCGGACGCGGCAGGGGACGCUCCACGCCAGAGCAGGCGUGCCUCCGAGGGACUGCGGCCCGACCCGUGGAGGCCCCAGUCCCCAGCUGAGUGUAAGAUAUGUAGGAAGGAAAUAAGAACAGGGUGAACUUGCAGUGAUACUUCGCCAGAAAAAUCUUCCAGGCUUCAGCAAUUCGUGGCUCUGGGAUUCAUGAGCUAAAGUUUAAAGCCCUCCUUACCAGGCUGGCCAACCUGUUGGCAACAACACGUGUGCCCUGCUUAGCAAGGUGGAUCCCAUCUCUCCCUAUCAGUUGUCGACCUUAAUGAAUGAAGAGUUCAGCAGUCAGCCCUGGUAGUCUGCUUCUGUCCUUACCAGCACAGACUCGGAUGCCUGUGCUGUGUGGAAUUCCCUUCUCCAACCUGCAACAGUCAGCAAGUAACACUUCAGGGAAGGUGUCCUCAGGCUGCCUGUGUCUGUGUGCUUUUUUGUUCUGGCUUACAAAAGUUAACAGAAGGUUGUAUAUUGGUCCAGUAGCCAUCUGCCUACAUUAUCUCAUGAUUAAGUGCAAAUUAUUCUAGGAAAUAAAAACAAAAUGGAAACUGCCAAAAUGAGCGCA